AGGAUGGGAUAAAGAUGUCUCUGCAAAGACCACAUCUCCAUCCUGUCUGCAAUGUCUACUUUCAGGAUUGAUGACACAUCUGACUAUUGAGUCUCCAGUGUUUCAGACCACAGACCUUCUUCCAGAAGCCAGUAUCUCAAAGUUGCUGACUUGCACUUGGGAACCAGGUUCUCCCACCUCAGAUGCCUUCGGCUCAGCCCAGGACUGUAGGGAACUGCAUGGUCACUACAGAGCUAUGAGGCUAAUCAAUGUGGAUGCUGGAAAAGCAGACAGCAAACUCAUUUGGACCUUCCCUCCCUCCUGGGCCCUACAAAUGUAAAAGGAGGGUAGCUCCAGGAUUACCCAGUCUCAUGAAGGGAUAGAAGUUAGUCAGCCUUUCUCCCAUGCCCCUGACAGCAUAUGGAAGCUAAGAACAUCCAGCCAUUGGCUAGUGUUUAUUUUCUCUUUUUUUUUUUGAAGGAAUUUGAUUAUCAUAAUAAACUUUGAAUCUAAGUGUA